rnacentral:tRNA from 1 species
GGCGGCAUAGCCAAGCAGUAAGGCAGCGGUCUGCAAAACCGCUAUACCCGGGUGCAAAUCCCGGUGCCGCCU